UACGGAGGAUGCAAGUGUUAUCCGGAAUCACUGGGCGUAAAGCGUCUGUAGGUGGUCAAAUAAGUCAACUGUUAAAUCUUGAGGCUCAACCUCAAAAUCGCAGUCGAAACUAUUCGACUAGAGUAUAGUAGGGGUAAAGGGAAUUUCCAGUGGAGCGGUGAAAUGCGUAGAGAUUGGAAAGAACACCGAUGGCGAAGGCACUUUACUGGGCUAUUACUAACACUGAGAGACGAAAGCUAGGGUAGCAAAUGGG
rnacentral:rRNA from 1 species